rnacentral:rRNA from 1 species
GAGGAAUAUUGGACAAUGGAGGAAACUCUGAUCCAGCCAUGCCGCGUGAGUGACGAAGGCCUUCGGGUUGUAAAACUCUUUAAGUGGGGAAGAUAAUGACGGUACCCACAGAAUAAGCACCGGCUAACUUCGUGCCAGCAGCCGCGGUAAUACGAAGGGUGCUAGCGUUACUCGGAAUCACUGGGCGUAAAGCGUGCGUAGGCGGAAAUAUAAGUCAGAGGUGAAAUCCCGGAGCUUAACUUCGGAAUUGCCUUUGAAACUGUAUUUCUUGAGUAUGGUAGAGGAUGGUGGAAUUCCUAGUGUAGAGGUGAAAUUCGUAGAUAUUAGGAGGAACACCGGUGGCGAAGGCGGCCAUCUGGGCCAUCACUGACGCUGAGGCACGAAAGCGUGGGUAGCAAAC